rnacentral:rRNA from 1 species
CCUACGGGUGGCAGCAGUGGGGAAUAUUGGACAAUGGGCGAAAGCCUGAUCCAGCCAUGCCGCGUGUGUGAAGAAGGCCUUCGGGUUGUAAAGCACUUUCAGUGGGGAAGAAAGCCUUGGGGCUAAUACCCUCGAGGAAGGACAUCACCCACAGAAGAAGCACCGGCUAACUCCGUGCCAGCAGCCGCGGUAAUACGGAGGGUGCGAGCGUUAAUCGGAAUUACUGGGCGUAAAGCGCGCGUAGGCGGUCUGAUAAGCCGGUUGUGAAAGCCCCGGGCUCAACCUGGGAACGGCAUCCGGAACUGUCAGGCUAGAGGGCAGGAGAGGAAGGGAGAAUCCCCGGUGUAGCGGUGAAAUGCGUAGAGAUCGGGAGGAAUACCAGUGGCGAAGGCGGCCUUCUGGACUGAAACUGACGCUGAGGUGCGAAAGCGUGGGUAGCAAACAGGAUUAGAUACCCUUGUAGUC